rnacentral:rRNA from 1 species
UACGGGAGGGUGCAAGCGUUAUCCGGAUUCACUGGGUUUAAAGGGUGCGUAGGAGGGCAGGUAAGUCAGUGGUGAAAUCUUCGAGCUUAACUCGGAACUGCCGUUGAUACUAUCUGUCUUGAAUACCGUGGAGGUGAGCGGAAUAAUGUCAUGUAGCGGUGAAAUGCUUAGAUAUGACAUAGAACACCAAUUGCGAAGGCAGCUCGCUACACGAAUAUUGACUCGUGAGGCACGAAAGCGUGGGGAUCAAACAGG